GAUGAACGCUGGCGGCGUGCCUAAUACAUGCAAGUAGAACGCUGAAGGAAGGAGCUUGCUCUUUCCGGAUGAGUUGCGAACGGGUGAGUAACGCGUAGGUAACCUGCCUGGUAGCGGGGGAUAACUAUUGGAAACGAUAGCUAAUACCGCAUAACAGUAGAUGUUGCAUGAUAUCUACUUAAAAGGUGCAAUUGCACCACUACCAGAUGGACCUGCGUUGUAUUAGCUAGUUGGUGAGGUAACGGCUCACCAAGGCGACGAUACAUAGCCGACCUGAGAGGGUGAUCGGCCACCCUGGGACUGAGACGCGGCCCAGACUCCUACGGGAGGCAGCAGUAGGGAAUCUUCGGCAAUAGACGGAAGUCUGACCGAGCAACGCCGCGUGAGUGAAGAAGGGUUUCGGAUCGUAAAGCUCUGUUGUAAGAGAAGAACGAGUGUGAGAGUGGAAAGUUCACACUGUGACGGUAUCUUACCAGAAAGGGACGGCUAACUACGUG
rnacentral:rRNA from 1 species